GGGUCCGAGUUGUAAUUUGUAGAGGAUGCUUUUGGUGCGGUGCCUUCCGAGUUCCCUGGAACGGGACGCCUUAGAGGGUGAGAGCCCCGUACGGUUGGACGCCUAGCCUCUGUAAAGCUCCUUCGACGAGUCGAGUAGUUUGGGAAUGCUGCUCUAAAUGGGAGGUAUAUUUCUUCUAAAGCUAAAUACCGGCCAGAGACCGAUAGCGCACAAGUAGAGUGAUCGAAAGAUGAAAAGCACUUUGAAAAGAGGGUUAAAUAGCACGUGAAAUUGUUGAAAGGGAAGCGUUUAUCACCAGACUUUUUCUAGGGGGAUCAUCCGGGGUUCUCCCCGGUGCACUUCCCCUAGUUGAGGCCAGCAUCGGUUUUCGGAGGGGGAUAAAAGUUUCGGGAAUGUGACUCCCCCGGGAGUGUUAUAGCCCGUUACAUAAUACCCUUCUGGGGACCGAGGUUCGCGCAUCUGCAAGGAUGCUGGCAUAAUGGUGAUCAACGACCCGUCUUGAAACACGGACCAAGGAGUCGAACAUUUAUGCGAGUGUUUGGGUGUCAAACCCUCACGCGUAAUGAAAGUGAACGGAGGUGAGAGCCCUUACGGGUGCAUCAUCGACCGAUCCUGAUGUCUUCGGAUGGAUUUGAGUAAGAGCAUAACUGUUCGGACCCGAAAGAUGGUGAACUAUGCGUGGAUAGGGUGAAGCCAGGAGAAAUCCUGGUGGAGGCUCGCAGCGGUUCUGACGUGCAAAUCGAUCGUCAAAUCUGCGCAUGGGGGCGAAAGACUAAUCGAACCAUCUAGUAGCUGGUUACCGCCGAAGUUUCCCCUCAGGAA
rnacentral:rRNA from 1 species